rnacentral:rRNA from 1 species
CCUACGGGUGGCAGCAGUGAGGAAUAUUGGUCAAUGGACGAGAGACUGAACCAGCCAAGUAGCGUGAAGGAUGACUGCCCUAUGGGUUGUAAACUUCUUUUAUAUGGGAAUAAAAUGUUCCACGUGUGGGAUUUUGUAUGUACCAUAUGAAUAAGGAUCGGCUAACUCCGUGCCAGCAGCCGCGGUAAUACGGAGGAUCCGAGCGUUAUCCGGAUUUAUUGGGUUUAAAGGGUGCGGAGGUGGAUUGUUAAGUCAGUUGUUAAAGUUUGCGGCUCAACCGUAACAUUGCAGUUGAAACUGGCAGUCUUGAGUUCGGGAGAGGUAGGCGGAAUUCGUGGUGUAGCGGUGAAAUGCAUAGAUAUCACGCAGAACUCCGAUUGCGAAGGCAGCACACUGG